rnacentral:rRNA from 1 species
AUUGAACGCUGGCGGCAGGCCUAACACAUGCAAGUCGAGCGAGAGGCGGACGGGUGAGUAAUGUAUGGGGACUGCCCGAUAGAGGGCGAUAACUACUGGAAACGGUAACUAAUAACGCAUACUAUCGGAUAACCCAUAUGGGAUUAGCUAGUAGGUGAGGGAACGGCUCACAUAGGCGACGAUCCCUAGCUGGUCUGAGAGGAUGAUCAGCAACACUGGGACUGAGACACGGCCCAGACUCCUACGGAGGCAGCAGUGGGGAAUAUUGCACAAUGGGCGCAAGCCUGAUGCAGCCAUGCCGCGUGUAUGAAGAAGGCCCUAUGGUUGUAAAGUACUUUCAGUCGGGAGGCGUUACCGACAGAAGAAGCACCGGCUAACUCCGUGCCAGCAGCCGCGGUAAUUC